rnacentral:rRNA from 1 species
GGAUCCAGACUUUGAUUCUGGCUCAGGAUGAACGCUAGCUACAGGCUUAACACAUGCAAGUCGAGGGGAAACGAUAGAGAAAGCUUGCUUUUUCUAGGCGUCGACCGGCGCACGGGUGAGUAACGCGUAUCCAACCUGCCCACCACUUGGGAAUAACCUUGCGAAAGUAAGACUAAUACCCAAUGAUAUCUCUAGAAGACAUCUGAAAGAGAUUAAAGAUUUAUCGGUGAUGGAUGGGGAUGCGUCUGAUUAGCUUGUUGGCGGGGUAACGGCCCACCAAGGCGACGAUCAGUAGGGGUUCUGAGAGGAAGGUCCCCCACAUUGGAACUGAGACACGGUCCAAACUCCUACGGGAGGCAGCAGUGAGGAAUAUUGGUCAAUGGGCGAGAGCCU